GGGGAUGACAUGGCUUCGACGUGGGUAGCAAAACCUGAGGUGCAUGCAGAGGUGUGAAGUUCCUCUUAAAACCGUUCACAAAACUUAUAGUUGCCAACGACGACAACUACGCUUUAGCAGCUUAAUAACCUGCUCAUAGCCCUCGGCCUAAUGUGCGCUUACACGCUUAGAUAACCGGGGUCGACUCAUGUAAGAUCGCGAUGAAGCAUUUCUGGUGUGGAUUCGUUAAAACUUAUCCAGAAUCGCUCUGUAUUCUCCCUGUUCGUCGGGUAAUACAAAGUUAAAUUAAUAGACGGAAUAAGCAUGUAGAGCCGAUGGCGGAGUGCUUGCGGACGGCGGUUCGAUUCCGCCCAUCUCCACCA
rnacentral:tmRNA from 1 species